UUCAAACUUCAUAAAUUUUAUUCUAGAAAUGCUCUUUAGGAUAUUUAAAAGAAAAUACUAAAUUUCUUACUGAAACUUCAAAGUUUCCUAUACCUUUUCUUAUUCUUCUCCUCUUCCUCUCUCUCUAUAUCACUCCCUACCUCUCUAAGAUCUUGGAGGAUGGAAGAAUGGAAUGGAAGUGAUGAUGAAAUCAUGAAGGGAGGGUCCCCAUUUGUAGAAAAUGGGGAUCGUAGAAUUUGUGCCAAGUGGCAAAAUCUGGUAAGGAGAGAGAAAGUCAAUGGGAAAAGAAGUGAUGUGACGAUUAACAGAUGUGACCAACGGACAAACGACGUGACGUGAUGACAGCAUGAAAAAUAGAGGCACACAACCAAAAUGACAGCAGCAAAUCACCCAAGUGACAGUGGUAUGCCGCCCAAGCUGCUGGUGGCUCACUGCUUAAUCGGCAAUGCUCGCCAUCAAAGGUAGCGCAUGGCAGGGGGGCGGCGUACCGUGCGCAGGCCUACAACACAAGAAUAUUGUGCGGACAUCACGUGCACAGGGCACACAGAGUCGUGUCCGUUUGCACACAAUGGGACACACACGCAAACUGGGCCU
rnacentral:lncRNA from 1 species